rnacentral:rRNA from 1 species
AUUGAGCGCUGGCGGCAGGCUUAACACAUGCAAGUCGAGCGGUAGCACAGGGGAGCUUGCUCCCUGGGUGACGAGCGGCGGACGGGUGAGUAAUGUCUGGGAAACUGCCUGAUGGAGGGGGAUAACUACUGGAAACGGUAGCUAAUACCGCAUAACGUCGCAAGACCAAAGAGGGGGACCUUCGGGCCUCUUGCCAUCAGAUGUGCCCAGAUGGGAUUAGCUAGUAGGUGGGGUAAUGGCUCACCUAGGCGACGAUCCCUAGCUGGUCUGAGAGGAUGACCAGCCACACUGGAACUGAGACACGGUCCAGACUCCUACGGGAGGCAGCAGUGGGGAAUAUUGCACAAUGGGCGCAAGCCUGAUGCAGCCAUGCCGCGUGUGUGAAGAAGGCCUUCGGGUUGUAAAGCACUUUCAGCGAGGAGGAAGGUGGUGAGCUUAAUACGUUCAUCAAUUGACGUUACUCGCAGAAGAAGCACCGGCUAACUCCGUG